UACGUAGGGGGCAAGCGUUGUCCGGAUUUAUUGGGCGUAAAGAGCGUGUAGGCGGUUUGGUAGGUCCGCUGUGAAAACUCGAGGCUCAACCUCGAGACGCCGGUGGAAACCAUCAGACUAGAGUCCGGAAGAGGAGAGUGGAAUUCCUGGUGUAGCGGUUAAAUGCGCAGAUAUCAGGAAGAACACCCGUGGCUAAGGCGGCUCUCUAGUACGGUACUGACGCUGAGACGCGAAAGCGUGGGGAGCGAACAGG
rnacentral:rRNA from 1 species